rnacentral:snoRNA from 1 species
UAUACAUGAUGAUUAAGUUUCUACGAAUCACGACGGUCUUCUGACAUAUAAUAGAUGGAGAUGGUAGAACGUUCUGACCAUAUUUUCC